rnacentral:rRNA from 1 species
AGUGAACGCUGGCGGUAGGCCUAACACAUGCAAGUCGAACGGCAGCGCAGGAGAGCUUGCUCUCUGGGUGGCGAGUGGCGGACGGGUGAGGAAUACAUCGGAAUCUACUCUGUCGUGGGGGAUAACGUAGGGAAACUUACGCUAAUACCGCAUACGACCUACGGGUGAAAGCAGGGGACCUUUGGGCCUUGCGCGAUUGAAUGAGCCGGUGUCGGAUUAGCUAGUUGGCGGGGUAAAGGCCCACCAAGGCGACGAUCCGUAGCUGGUCUGAGAGGAUGAUGAGCCACACUGGAACUGAGACACGGUCCAGACUCCUACGGGAGGCAGCAGUGGGGAAUAUUGGACAAUGGGCGCAAGCCUGAUCCAGCCAUACCGCGUGGGUGAAGAAGGCCUUCGGGUUGUAAAGCCCUUUUGUUGGGAAAGAAAUCCAGCUGGCUAAUACCCGGUUGGGAUGACGGUACCCAAAGAAUAAGCACCGGCUAACUUCGUGCCAGCCGCCGCAGUAA